CCCCAUGUAGUAAACCCAAACAAUUCAACAUUUUCUUAGCAUUGUAAACCCAAAUAGAGAAUAACACAGUCACCGCCAAUAUCCUAGCUCAAAUCCACACCUUGGUGAUUAAGUCGGAGCCAGAAGUCCGGCAGCAGAGUGAUGAUGCCUAUAGCUGCUCUAUCAAGAGUACAUUCCGGGGCAAGCCUGAUUUGCCAUGCAGAUGAAAAGCCCAAGAGAACCCACU
rnacentral:misc_RNA from 1 species